AAAACAUUUCUUACAGAAAAUAUUUGUAAGUAACACCUGCUCAAUGAACGUUUAAAUAGCCGCGGAAUUUUAACCGUGCUAAGGUAGCAUAAUCACUAGCCUCUUAAUUAGAGGCUUGUAUGAAAGGUGAAACCUUUCAUAGACUUUAUUAGAUGAAUACCCCAAAGUUAAAUUAAGAAUAAAAAUGUUCUUAUGAUAAAAAUAGACGAUAAGACCCUUUUGAACUUCACUUAAGUUUAGCUGGGGCAGCUAAGAAAUAAUUAUCUUUGUGACUAAUUUUAAAUUAAUGACCCAAUAAAAUUGAUUACUUGACCAAUGUUACCAUAGGGAUAACAGCGUAAUAUAUUUUUAAAGCUCUUAUUUAAAAAUAAGCUUGCGACCUCGAUGUUGAAUUAGUGUUGCUUCAAUGGCGCAGUAGCUGUAUAAGUAGGUCUGUUCGACCUUUAAAACACUACAUGAUCU
rnacentral:rRNA from 1 species